AUUGAACGCUGGCGGCAGGCCUAACACAUGCAAGUCGGACGGUAGCACAGAGGAGCUUGCUCCUUGGGUGACGAGUGGCGGACGGGUGAGUAAUGUCUGGGGAUCUGCCCGAUAGAGGGGGAUAACCACUGGAAACGGUGGCUAAUACCGCAUAACGUCGCAAGACCAAAGAGGGGGACCUUCGGGCCUCUCACUAUCGGAUGAACCCAGAUGGGAUUAGCUAGUAGGCGGGGUAAUGGCCCACCUAGGCGACGAUCCCUAGCUGGUCUGAGAGGAUGACCAGCCACACUGGAACUGAGACACGGUCCAGACUCCUACGGGAGGCAGCAGUGGGGAAUAUUGCACAAUGGGCGCAAGCCUGAUGCAGCCAUGCCGCGUGUAUGAAGAAGGCCUUCGGGUUGUAAAGUACUUUCAGCGGGGAGGAAGGCGGUGAGGUUAAUAACCUCGCCGAUUGACGUUACCCGCAGAAGAAGCACCGGCUAACUCCGUGCCAGCCGCCGCCGUAA
rnacentral:rRNA from 1 species